rnacentral:tRNA from 1 species
GGGAAUAUAGCUCGGUGGUAGAGUUCUUGCCUUGAAUGCAGUAGGCCCUGGGUUCUAUCCCCAGCACUACCA